CGGCCCUCUGCUUCUGGCUUCUUUCCGUCGUCUGGUGCAUUGACCGCGGUAAUUGACAUCUAGGUUACGAUGAUCGCUCUCUGUAACAGAUGCCGGAUGAACACCGUCCAUGUAAUCUCGCAUCCAUCUAUUGCCUAUCGCCAGGCGCGAACAACGUUCCAAAACUUGGAGUCGCCAGUUACUAUAUUACUUGAGCAAUUUGAAUCACACGAUUUGGGUUAAAAUGGUUUGAUAGUGUCAUCGUUGCAUGAUUAAGAAAGCACUUUACAGGUCAUUAACAGAGCUAUCGAGCCCUAAGGGCAUAAUGCCGGGAUGCUGUUCUUGGCACAUGGUUUCCCUGGAGGACUUUGUCUGCCGUUCAACUGCGCAGAACUUAACACCUUUAAAAGCCGCAUUUCUGGGGGCUCGCUGCGAGGGUGCAUUUGCGGUUUUCGCGUGGUGUUUGAGAGGCUGGAUGAGCAGUAGAGCCAAGACGUGUGCGCUAUGAUGGUUGGAUCUCUCAUCGGCUCACUCGACCCUGGGCAUCACAUUGGAUCCGCGUCACGCGCGACACGUCGAGCGACAAGUACAUCAUAUAAUGAUAUAAGUCCAUGUGACUUUAUAAAUGUUGGUGGGGCAUCUUAGUUGUCAAAGCAAACAGCGAAAUGCAAAUGGCAGUUCCAUGGCCUAAGUCGUCUGGGUAUUUAUUAUUUGUAAGAAUAAAGAACUGCCACUGGCCAGACGGUUAAAACCUAGCCUACUUGUAGGCUUUGAUAGUUUUUCCGGCACGAAAACCCCGAAAACACGAAGUUCGCAUACCACGGCCGCCAUCUUGGAUAACGCGCUCCGCAGGGGGAGAAAGGUAUGCAAACUUCGUGUUUUCGGGGUUUUCGUGCCGGAAAAACUAUCAAAGCCUACAAGUAGGCUAGUUUAAAUCCUAGCUGUUGUUGCUGUCGUCCUCUUCGUCCCUUGACAUAUGCUCUUGUCUGCAUAACGUCAGCGCAGGCUCUUUUUAUAUGUCGGCGCUUUACUCAUCAUACUGGUUACGUCGCGUUAUGUGCGGCAGUGCAGGAGUGCCGGAAUCUGUUGUUUUUGCGCAUUGAAGUGUUGUCUUUAACGGUUACUAUACAGUUCCUGUUCUUUUAUUUUUAUAAAAUACAGUUAAAGAUUUCCACGAAGGGAUACCUCUAAGGACCAAUACUUUCACUCGAGCGAAACAAACAUUAUUUCUUACUCGAUCUUUCGUACCAAUGAAUGGGUCAUAUAUUUUUUCCUGGAACUGACAGUUGUCUAAAGGACAGAGGUUCGAUAGUCCUAUUGUGCGCGAUUGUCUAACCUUCUCAAUGCUGUGGUAGAAAUUGACAAGAGAGAGAGGGGGCAGUUAACCUUGAGAAACAAGACGAAUAGUCGGGCCAGCUCGAAAAUGUACGCGAAGGCUAAUCGGCACUUCGGCAAAUGCAUAGCAAAGGUGCACCUAUUGGUGAUGUGGUGCACCUUCCGGAAACCGCGCACAUUUAGGUUGAACGUUGAUCUACGGGCGUGGUAUAAAGACGGUAUCUUGGACAAACACAGGUGCAGUAGACAUUGCCAGAAAAUCUUUAAGUGAUCCGCCAGUGAAGAAUAAAGAUAACCUCUACAUUGCAGCCUUCCUCGUGCGCGCACGCUCGAAUGUGGAGAAAGAUUGAAGCGGCCAGUUCGCCCGCACGAAACAGACACUGCAGUCUACCCUCCACCGGUAUGCUCCAUCUUGAGCCAAUAAAACGCAGAAAAUACCACAGCUAAUCCGAACACUGCCACAGACCCCGUCAUUAAUAAAGAUUCGAUCUUGUAA